rnacentral:rRNA from 1 species
GUCUUGCUGUCACUUAUAGAUGGAUCCGCGCUGCAUUAGCUAGUUGGUAAGGUAACGGCUUACCAAGGCAACGAUGCAUAGCCGACCUGAGAGGGUGAUCGGCCACACUGGAACUGAGACACGGUCCAGACUCCUACGGGAGGCAGCAGUAGGGAAUCUUCCGCAAUGGGCGAAAGCCUGACGGAGCAACGCCGCGUGAGUGAUGAAGGUCUUCGGAUCGUAAAACUCUGUUAUUAGGGAAGAACAUAUGUGUAAGUAACUGUGCACAUCUUGACGGUACCUAAUCAGAAAGCCACGGCUAACUACGUGCCAGCAGCCGCGGUAAUACGUAGGUGGCAAGCGUUAUCCGGAAUUAUUGGGCGUAAAGCGCGCGUAGGCGGUUUUUUAAGUCUGAUGUGAAAGCCCACGGCUCAACCGUGGAGGGUCAUUGGAAACUGGAAAACUUGAGUGCAGAAGAGGAAAGUGGAAUUCCAUGUGUAGCGGUGAAAUGCGCAGAGAUAUGGAGGAACACCAGUGGCGAAGGCGACUUUCUGGUCUGUAACUGACGCUGAUGUGCGAAAGCGUGGGGAUCAAACAGGAUUAGAUACCCUGGUAGUCCACGCCGUAAACGAUGAGUGCUAAGUGUUAGGGGGUUUCCGCCCCUUAGUGCUGCAGCUAACGC